CCAUGAUGCACGUUGCACGCAGCAGCAGACCUUCUUUACGGAAUAUGCUACGGAUUUGAGGUCAUGGUGAAGUGUGAGUCGCCAGACACUCCAUUUACUGUGCUCAGGACACGUUUCAGGGAAAUGCCCAAGGUUGUCGUGUAUGACAAUAGCUGCAAUCUACACCAAUAUGCGUUAAACCGGG